UACGUAGGGGGCAAGCGUUGUCCGGAAUUAUUGGGCGUAAAGAGCGCGUAGGCGGUCCGGUAAGUCCGCUGUGAAAGUCAAGGGCUCAACCCUUGAAUGCCGGUGGAUACUGUCGGGCUAGAGUCCGGAAGAGGCGAGUGGAAUUCCUGGUGUAGCGGUGAAAUGCGCAGAUAUCAGGAGGAACACCAAUUGCGAAGGCAGCUCGCUGGGACGUUACUGACGCUGAGACGCGAAAGCGUGGGGAGCAAACAGG
rnacentral:rRNA from 1 species